CCUGGCCGCGACCGUGACCGAGGCGCAGAAAGUGGGACCCCAAGGCCCCCCGGGCCCCCAAGGGCCACCUGGGAAACCGGGCAAGGACGGCAUUGAUGGAGAAGUUGGGCCUCCGGGUCUGCCAGGGUCCCCGGGACCAAAAGGGGCCCCGGGGAAGCCAGGGAAACCAGGGGAGGCUGGGCUCCCAGGACUGCCCGGUGUGGACGGUCUGACAGGACAGGACGGACCACCGGGCCCCAAGGGCGCACCUGGAGAACGGGGAAGUCUGGGCCCCCCGGGGCCCC